AACGAACGCUGGCGGCAUGCCUAACACAUGCAAGUCGAACGAGACCUUCAGGUCUCGUGGCGCAUGGCUGCGUAACGCGUGAGGGCCUGCCCUUGGGUUCGGAAUAACUCGCCGGAAGGGGUUCUCAUCCCGAAUCGGGUCUUAGUACCGAAUAUCGAUCGCCUUUGAAUGGGCGCGCGUUGGGUUCGCCAGGUGGUAGGGUAAGAGCCUAUCAAGUCGACUAUCCAUAGCUGGUCUGGGAGGCUGAUCAGACACACUGGGACUGAGACACGGCCCAGACUCCUGCGGGAGGCGGGAGUGGGGAAUAUUGGCAAAUGGGGGAAAGCAUGAUCCAGCAAUGCCGCGUGAGUGAUGAAGGCCUGAGGGUAGUAAAUAUCGUUUACCCGUGAUGAUAAUGACAGUACCGGGAGAAGAAGCUCCGGCUAACUCCGUG
rnacentral:rRNA from 1 species